rnacentral:rRNA from 1 species
GACGAACGCUGGCGGCGUGCCUAAUACAUGCAAGUCGAGCGGAGCGGCGGACGGGGGAGUAAUGCCUAGGAAUCUGCCUGGUCGUGGUGGAUAACGUCCGGUAACGGGCGCUAAUACUGCACACUAUCAGAUGAGGCUAGGUCGGAUUAGCUAGUGGGUGGGGUAAAGGCAUACCAAGGCGACGAUCCGGAAGUGGUCUGAGAGGAUGAUCAGUCACACUGGAACUGAGACACGGUCCAGACUCCUACGGGAGGCAGCAGUGGGGAAUAUUGGACAAUGGGCGAAAGCCUGAUGCAGCCAUGCCGCGUGAAUGAAGAAGGUUUUCGGGUUGUAAAGCACUUUCAUCGGAGAGGCGGUACCCACAGAAGAAGCACCGGCUAACUCCGUGCCAGCAGCCGCGGUAAUUC